rnacentral:lncRNA from 1 species
AUGUUUUGGUCAAUAAGGAUCUCAUGCAACCAAGCAAUGGUUGCCUUUAUUUCUCUGUUAUUUUUAGAGUGUCGAGAGUGCCGCCUAGCUUUGCUCUCUCUUGUAUUUAUGGCUCCUACAUGCCACCACAACAAUCUGGGUUUUGUUUAAUCGAGUUAGCCAUUUGCUACCGCCUUUCAGCGCGCGUGUUGGAUAAACCGCCCGUCUGAUUGUAAAUGGAACCCCACCAUCUUGUGAUUUCAGAUUGAAAGCUCAAUAUAUAUAUAUAUAUAUAUUGCAAUUGUGAUUGUUCAUUGUGUUCUUGCUUGUUCUUCGAUUGCUUGCAGGACGAGUGCCCUCGUGGCCGGGUCGCGCACCACAAGAACGCAGCGAUCCUUGGAGUCGGUGUAUCGGUUGCUAAGGCGCAUCAUCCUUGGAUGGUUGUAGUCGGAUCGUGAACGUCGUCUCCUUCCACUAAAUCGAAGUUAUCCAUCUCCACCAAAAAGAUUGGGACACCCUCGUUCCUAUUAUGUGGUAAUCAGAGCAAGGUUUGAUUGGUGAGUGAUUUUAGUUUGCAAUUUUUUUUUCCUAUAGUCCAGAAAAGCCAAAAAAAAAUUUUAGUUUCAUUCCCAACAUCCUAUAGACCCAUUGAGCCUUUUACUAGUACUACUUAGUUCAGGCAAGUUGUGUUUGAUUUACAUCGGUCGAGUCGAAUUGCUGGUCUUGGGUUUAGACUUUUAGAGUUUUGAGUUCUUGUCACGUUUUAGUCACUGCCCAUCGUAUAAUCUCUGCUGCAAUCACUAUUAUCAUAUACAUUUGGACUGUCUAAACUACCAUCACCGCCCUACUUGUGCACCGUGUAAACUCCAUCCACCAGUUUCUCUUUUCACUUGUACGCACCCCUAUAUUUUUAGGCGCAUGCACCCUUUCACUUCAACCUGUGAGCAUGCUAUGAUUAACCGCCACCUCCUGCAUGCUCCUUUCUUCCAUCCAUACAUCCUAUUAUAAGCGCUAGCGCACAUUCUAUUUUCAGCAUCCUAUUGCAACCACCAGAUUUGUUCCACAUUUGCACAUCUAAUUUUAGAACAUUCCAUUGUUCCAUCCACUUCCAGCAGCGCGCAUCCUUUUGCCUGUCCUCCACUCUUCUUUCACAUUCUAUUUUUAGCAUCCCCAUUGCAAUCAGUACUACUGCAGCACCAUAUCACCAUCACAAUUUGCUAGUUGUAUUUUUGUCACACUAAAGGCAUUGUGCGUAUUCUGAAAUCUAAUCCAUCAAGAUUCAGAUUUGUUUUAGUUGAGCAAAGUAAAAGAAAAAAACAGAAAGAAACAAAAAAAAACAAUCAAAAAAAAAGAGGAAAAAAAUGAAAGAAAAAAAAUGAAAGAAAAGAAAGGAAGAGGAAAAGAAGGGGAGUUAUCUAGGAAAAGAAGGGGAGUUAUCUCUUGUUGUCCUUAUUAUUGUUCCUGCUGCACCGUGACUUUGUUUGUGUCUAGGCUCGUGUCUCUAGCACGGUCUAGCCUAGGACCAGCAUAGCACCACCGUUGAAUGAUUUCUCAACCUGCUUUUGUAACUAAUGUGGUGUUAGUAUUUCCUUGCUACUUUCAGCCUUCCUAUAGCUCCACAAAUUCGACUAUAGCUUGACAGGGAUUGAUGUUGCGGCACCGAUACACUUGCUUCUUAGGUUGAGUUGCUGAAUUGUUGGCUGCCGUCCCCCUCCUGUUGAGUUUGGUAAGAAUAGGUGAGAACAUGCAUGGACAAGUGUUGAGAGUGAGAGGAUUAUAAUAACCACAUCCUAGUAGCAUUAGGGCAGUUUUUCUUUCACUUUUUUUUGUCUCCUCUCUUGUGAUCAUGCCAGGAGAAUCAGAUCCAACCCCACCGCAAUCACCACGGACAAAGACCUUUAUGCAACACUUCGAACGCAAAGUAAGGGAGCACACUAAUGGCCUCAAUGAGGAUGUACAGGUGACCAAUGAAAAGAUUGGGCAAUUGGAGACAGCCCAAAUAGCCACCACCAGCAAGCUUACAAGGUUGGAGGCAUCUAUUGUUCGUAUGGACAAAAGCCUUGCUGCCCUUCUGAACCGUUUUGAUGACUUCCACAUGAAACAUAAAGAGAAGCAUAAUGAAGAUGAAGAGCGAGUCGAAGAUAAUUAUGAUGAUGAUUAUACUGCUGAUACUGAACAUGAUGAUCGUGACACUCGUGAUCGGCAUCGCCUACGCCAUAAUCGAAGUGGUAUGGGCGGUCACCGUCGACGUGAGGUACCCAACAAUACUGAUUCUUUCAGCAAGAUUAAAUUUAAAAUACCUCCUUUUGAUGGUAAGUAUGACCCUGAUGCAUAUAUUUCUUGGGAAAUUGCUAGUGAACAAAAGUUUGCAUGUCAUGAGUUUCCUGAGAAUACACGUGUUAGGGCUGCUACUAGCGAGUUUAGUGACUUUGCUACUGUUUGGUGGAAUGAACAUGUCAAGAAAAAUCCUAAUAACAUACCACAAACUUGGAAUGCUUUAAAACAAAUCAUGAGGGCUAGAUUUGUUCCUUCUUACUAUGCACGAGAUUUGUUACAUAAAUUACAACAACUGAGACAGGGAGCUAAAACUGUAGAAGAAUAUUAUCAAGAAUUGCAAAUGGGUAUGUUGCGUUGUAAUAUAGAAGAGGACGAGGAACCUGCUAUGGCUAGAUUUUUGGGUGGACUAAACCAUGAAAUUCAGGACAUACUUGAAUAUAAAGAUUACAAUAACAUAACCCAUUUGUUUCAUCUUGCGUGUAAAGCUGAAAGGGAAGUUUAGGGACGAUAUGCUAGUACCAAGGAUAGUAUUUCUGCAGGGAAGACCAAUUCAUGGCAGCCCCGCACGACUACUACUCCACCUACACGUGCUCCUAUGCCUUCACAAAGCAAGAUAUCUCGUGCUAAUCCAGCAAACUCAGUGGCAAAGACGAUUCAAAAUCCUACUGCAAGUGCUUCAUCCAUGGCGUCUACAGGUAGAACAAGAGACAUUCAGUGCCUCCGAUGCAAGGGAUAUUGACAUGUGAUGCGUGAAUGUCCCAGCAAGCGUGUUAUGAUCGUCAAAGAUGAUGGUGAGUGCUCAUCUGCUAGUGAUUUUGAUGAAGAUACACUUGCAUUGCUUGCAGCUGACCAUGCAGGUAGUGAACAACAUUUCGAAGAACAUAUUAAUGCUACUGAAGCAGACCGCUAUGAGAGCCUUAUUGUGCAGCAUGUGCUUAGUGCACAAAUGGAGAAGGCAGAGCAAAAUCAGCGACAUACAUUGUUUCAAACAAAGUGUGUCAUCAAAGAGCGUUCAUGUCGCAUGAUCAUUGAUGGAGGUAGCUGCAACAACUUGGCCAGCAGCGACAUGGUGGAGAAGCUUGCGCUUACCACUAACCCACACCCACAUCCAUAUUAUAUUCAAUGGCUGAACAAUAGUGGCAAGGCAAAGGUAACUAGACUUGUGCGAAUCAAUUUUUCCAUUGGGUCGUAUGAAGAUGUUGAUGAAUGUGAUGUUGUGCCUAUGCAAGCUUGCAAUAUUCUGCUAGGUAGACCUUGGCAAUUUGAUAGAGAUUCUAUGCAUCAUGGAAGAGCAAAUCAGUAUUAUUUUCUGUAUCUUGAUAGAAAAAUUGUUUUACACCCUAUGUCUCCUGAGGCGAUUAUGCAAAAUGAUGUGGCUCAGGCUACAAAAGCAAAAAGAGAGAGGAAUACUAAACCUGUCAUAGAUAGGAAAGAUGGGAUCAAAUUGAAAGGGAAUUGUUUGCUUGCUACUAAGUCUGAUAUUAAUGAGUUGAAUGCAUCCACUUCUACUAUUUAUGCUUUAGUAUGCAAAGAUGCAUUAAUUUCCCUUCACGAUAUGCUGCAUUCUUUGCCUCCGGAGGUUGCUGACAUUUUGCAGGAGUAUUCUGAUGUGUUUCCAACUGAAAUGCCACCGGGGCUACCACCACUUCGAGGGAUUGAGCACCAGAUUGACUUGAUUCCCGGUGCUUCAUUGCCCAACCGUGCACCAUACAGGACCAAUCCAGAAGAAACAAAAGAGAUUCAGCGGCAAGUGCAAGAACUACUCGACAAAGGUUAUGUGCGUGAGUCUCUUAGUCCUUGUGUUGUUCCUGAUAUUUUAGUGCCUAAAAAAGAUGGAUCAUGGAGUAUGUGUGUGGAUUGUCGAGCUAUCAAUAAUAUUACUAUUAGAUAUCGCCAUCCUAUUCCACGCUUAGAUGACAUGCUUGAUGAACUAAGUGGUGCUGUUGUAUUUUCCAAAGUUGACUUGCGUAGUGGUUACCACCAGAUUCGUAUGAAAUUGGGAGAUGAAUGGAAAACCGCUUUCAAAACUAAAUUCGGUUUGUAUGAGUGGUUAGUCAUGCCUUUUGGUUUAACUAAUGCCGAGUACCUUCAUGAGACUAAUGAACGAGGUUUUGCGUGCCUUCAUUGGAAGAUUUGUUGUUGUUUAUUUUGAUGAUAUAUUAAUUUACAGCAAAUCUAUGGAUCAACAUCUUGAUCAUUUAUGUGCUGUUUUUCAAGCUCUACGAGAUGCACGCUUAUUUGGUAAUAUUGAGAAGUGCAUGUUUUGCACAGAUCGAGUUUCUUUUCUUGGCUAUGUUGUUACUCCACAGCGAAUUGAGGUUGACAAAUCCAAGGUGGAAGCGAUACAAGGGUGGCCAAUACCAAAGAGCGUCACCCAGCUACGGAGUUUUCUAGGACUUGCUGGGUUCUAUCGUCGCUUUGUGCAGGAUUUCAGCACCAUUGCUGCACCAUUGAAUGAGCUUACAAAGAAGGGAGUGCACUUUUCUUGGAGCACAGCACAAGAGAAUGCUUUCAACAUGUUGAAAGAUAAGUUGACACAUGCACCUCUUCUCCAACUUCCUGAUUUUAACAAAACUUUUGAACUUGAAUGUGAUGCUAGUGGAAUUGGUUUGGGUGGUGUUUUGUUACAAGAAGGAAAACGCAUUGCAUAUUUUAGUGAGAAACUAAGUGGGCCUAUUCUAAAUUAUUCUACUUAUGAUAAAGAAUUGUAUGCUCUUGUGCGAACAUUAGAAACAUGGCAACAUUAUUUGUGGCCCAAAGAAUUUGUCAUACAUUAUGAUCAUGAAUCGUUAAAGCAUAUUCGUAGCUAAGGAAAACUGAACCGUAGACACGCUAAGUGGGUUGAAUUCAUUGAAUCUUUUCCAUAUGUCAUCAAACACAAGAAAGGGAAAGAGAAUAUCAUUGCUGAUGCUUUAUCUAGGAGAUAUACCUUGUUGACACAACUCGACCAUAAGAUCUUUGGAUUGGAAACAGUUAAAGAACAAUAUGUGCAUGAUGAUGAUUUUAAAGAUGUGUUUUUGCAUUGUAAGGAUGGGAAGGCAUGGAAUAAAUUUGUUGUAAAUGAUGGUUUUGUGUUUAGAGCUAAUAAGCUAUGCAUUCCAGCUAGCUCUGUUCGUUUGUUGUUGCUACAGGAAGCACAUGGAGGUGGUUUGAUGGGACAUUUUGGGGCAAAGAAGACGGAGGACAUACUGGCUGGUCAUUUCUUUUGGCCAAAGAUGAGGAGAGAUGUGGAGAGAUUUAUUGCUCGCUGCACGACAUGUCAAAAGGCCAAGUCACGCUUAAAUCCACACGGUUUGUACAUGCCACUACCUGUUCCUAGCAUUCCUUGGGAAGAUAUUUCUAUGGAUUUUGUGUUGGGAUUGCCAAGAACUAGGAAGGGCCGUGAUAGUGUUUUUGUGGUUGUGGAUAGAUUUUCUAAGAUGGCACACUUUAUACCUUGUCAUAAGACUGAUGACGCCACACAUAUUGUUGAUUUGUUCUUUCGAGAAGUUGUUCGUUUGCAUGGUGUUCCAAACACAAUUGUUUCUGAUCGAGAUGCUAAAUUUCUUAGCCACUUUUGGAGAACUUUAUGGGCUAAACUGGGGACAAAACUUUUAUUUUCUACCACUUGUCAUCCCCAAACUGAUGGUCAAACUGAAGUUGUAAAUAGAACUUUGUCUACUAUGUUAAGGGCAAUUUUAAAGAACAAUAUUAAAAUGUGGGAAGAUUGUUUGUCCCAUAUUGAGGUUGCUUAUAAUCGUUCACUGCAUUCUACUACAAAGAUGUGCCCAUUUGAGAUUGUUUAUGGCCUGCUACCACGUGCUCCAAUUGAUUUAAUGCCUUUGCCAACUUCCCAAAAAUUGAAUUUUGAUGCUAAGCAACGUGCUGAAUUGAUGUUAAAACUGCAUGAAACAACAAAAGAAAACAUAGAGCGCAUGAAUGCUAAGUAUAAGAUUGCUGGUGAUAAAGGUAGAAGGAAAUUGAUUUUUGAACCUGGAGAUUUGGUUUGGUUGCAUUUGAGAAAGGAUAGGUUUCCUGAGUUGAGAAAAUCUAAAUUGAUGCCUAGAGUUGCUGGACCAUUUAAAGUGCUACAACAAAUUAAUGAGAAUGCAUAUAAGCUUGAUCUUCCUACAGAUUUUGGGGUUAGUCCCACAUUUAACAUUGCAGAUUUGAAGCCAUAUUUGGGUGAGGGAGAUGAGCUUUAGUCGGGGACGACUCAAAUGCAAGAAGGGGAGGAUGAUGAGGACAUCAGCACCAUCUAUACAUCCACACCUACACCCACACCAUCGCCAACACCACUUGGCCCUCUUACUCGUGCCCGUGCCCGUCAACUGAACCAUCAAGUAAGUUUAUUCUUAAACUCUUGUUCAUCAUAUUUAGACAAUGGAGACACGUGCACUCUUGUUUUGCUUAGGAAUGAUGGAGAGGACCAGAAGCAUAGGGGAUUGGCGUAGGCUGGAUUUGGACAGCAAGACAGCACCAACUUACAACAACCGCCAUGACUUCAUACAGAGUCCAUUUUAAGCAUGCAAGCACUUGAUGGAAAACUCGUCAAGUAUAUUUUUAGAUGGAUCUCAAUUCAAGUUCACAGCAGCUAUGAGGCGGCCGCAAUUGUCUAAUAACUCCAUGGACCUUUUCUUCGGAUACCUACUUUUAGAGCAUGCUUCGGUCAAUAAGGAUCUCAUGUUUCGGUCAAUAAGGAUCUCAUGCAACCAAGCAAUGGUUGCCUUUAUUUCUCUGUUAUUUUUAGAGUGUCAAGAGUGCCGCCUAGCUUUGCUCUCUCUUGUAUUUAUGGCUCCUACAUGCCACCACAACAAUCUGGGUUUUGUUUAAUCGAGUUAGCCAUUUGCUACCGCCUUUCAGCGCGCGUGUUGGAUAAACCGCCCGUCUGAUUGUAAACGGAACCCCACCAUCUUGUGAUUUCAGAUUGAAAGCUCAAUAUAUAUAUAUAUUUCAAUUGUGAUUUUUCAUUGUGUUCUUGCUUGUUCUUCGAUUGCUUGCAGGACGAGUGCCCUCGUGGCCGGGUCGCGCACCACAAGAACGCAGCGAUCCUUGGAGUCGGUGUAUCGGUUGCUAAGGCGCAUCAUCCUUGGAUGGUUGUAGUCGGAUCGUGAACGUCGUCUCCUUCCACUAAAUCAAAGUUAUCCAUCUCCACCAAAAAGAUCGGGACACCCUCGUUCCUAUUAUGUAUCAUAUGGAAUCUCGCUUCGGUCUAGUUGGAGAUAGUAUUAGUUUCGGUGCAAGAUAGUUGCAUGGUUUGUGCCCUGUGCACCAUAGGCUCAGAAAUCGUUGUGGAAGUUCCCGAUGGUACUCCUAGGUGAAGAGGCUCAAGUGAAAGCUCGGUUCGGUCUGUUUGGAGAUAGUGCUAAUCUUGAUGAAAGAUAGGUGUACGGUUUUGAUGAGGACAUCAACACCAGCGAUACAUCCUCUCCGACACAACCUAUAGCUGGUCCUCUUACUCGUGCUCGUGUUCGUCAACUUAAUAAUCAAGUGAGUUCCUUGAUAAGCUCGUGUCCAUCUUGUUUAGACAAUGGAAACGCGUGCACUCUUGUUUUGAUUAGGAACCAAGGAGAAGACCGAAAGGGAGAAGGACUCACGCUCGCUGGAUUCGGACAGCAGCAAAGCGCCAACUUGUGACCGUUACCACGGUUGCAUACGGAUUCGGAUUCAGGUGCUUCAGGACAUGUUGGAAAGCUUAUGAAGUCUACUUUCAUAUGAAUUAAGUCCCACGUCAAUACCUGUUCGGCAGCAGCGGCAAUGAUCCAAUUACCGUCGAUAGGUCUUGCUGUCCAGGGUGCUGCGUCACCUCAUUUUGGGCUGAUGGCCCAUGUAUCAAGUUGGGUCCAUUAGGGACGCGUCCUAGGGUUGGAGGACGACCCCAACACCUCUUUGGUCGUCAAUCCAUCUACUUAUAUCCCUCUAGAGUCGCCAUGGUCGUUGGGUUUUGUUUAGAUCAAGUUUAGCCUUCGCUACUUGCAUGUAGGCGCGCGUGCAGGAUCAGCCGCCCGUCUCCUUGUCUUCGGAACCCUAUUGUUGAUUAAGAUUCAGUUUGAAACCUUCAAUUUAUCUUGCAAAUUCAGUGCUUGUUUCCUCAUUCUUGCUAGUUCUUCGAUUGCUUGCAGGACGGGAGCCCUAGGGGCUGGUUGUCGCGCUCCACCAGAUCGUGACGGCUAUUGGACGUGGUGUAUCGGUUGCUAAGGCACGGUCUUGAGGGCUGUAGUCGGGCCAUGAACGUCAUCUCCAUCCACCAAUCGAGUUAUCCCCGUCUCUCAUCAAAAGAUCGGGCAAAAACCCUAGCGGGUACGCAUCAGUUGGUAAUCAGAGCAAGGUUCUUCGGUGAGAGACUUCUAAUCCUUUGUUGUUUUUAAUUAAUUUCCUACAGUCCAGAAAAGCCAAAAAAAUAUAGUAGAUUAGUUUUUCCAUAAUCCUAUUAAACCUUUGUGCCUUGGCUAGUAUCGUUUUAGUUAGGGCUUGUUCAAUUUGCGUUGCUUCGGUUUGUGUCGAGUUGCUGGUCUUAGUGUCGAGUCCUUUAGAGUUUCGAGUUCUUGUCACCAUCUAUACACAGCCGAGUUUUACCAUAUCUUCUCUCUGUCGAAUCUGUUGCGAAGUCCGAAUUGAACUGUGGUCUUGGUCCAGAUCGAGUAGAGUUCCAAUCUGAGUUCCACCAACGUGAUAAAAAAAGAAGGAAACCGAGUAGAACUCGGCAAUAGGUGGAAUCCGUUUUGUGGUUGGUUCUGAGUGGAAACCGAAUAGAACUUGGAGUCCGCUUGUUAAUACAGCCUUAACUCCGUCUAUGUGAGUCCUUCUGUGAUCCAAAAAGAAAGAUAACUCCAUACUUGUUCGGCCUUACCGGAAUACCCCUGUACUUUCGGAAAAAAAGUGUGUGUAGCGAAUUGCUCUUUUGUAUUCUUUUGUUCAUAUAAUCCGUUUUUGAGGUUGCCCAAAAAAAAGAAAAAAAAGAAAAGAGAAAAGAUUCAAAAAAAGGGGCUGUUUUUCAUAUUGAUUUUAGGUUUGUUCCACCUUGUUUUCGGGGGUGUGCUGUGGUUUUCCUUUGUGUCCAGGCUCGCGUCUCUAGCACGGUCUAGCCUAGGACCAGCAUAGUACCAUCGUCGAAUGCUUAUUCAGCUCGCUUUUAUAACUAGAUGGUGCUAGUUCGUUCCUUGUUUCAGCCCACCUAUAGCUCCACAUACUCUACAGCUUGACAGGUCUUGUGCUGCAGCACCGAUACACUUCGUCCAUUGCUGUACACUUGUUGGCAGACGACCCCUCCUGUCAAGCAAGGUAAGAAUUGGUAAGAACUUGUGUUACAGGUUGAGUGUGAGCGACUUGCUGUAUCUACAUCCUAGUAGUUGUAGGGCUUUUAUUUCUUCACUUGCCUUUUUGUUGUCUUUGUCUUUGAACCAUGCCAGGGGCAGAUGAUGGUAACGAAACACCACAUACACCUCGCACUAAGGGCAUCAUACAACAUUUUGAAAGGAAAGUGAAGCUGCACACAGAGGGACUUGAUAACGACUUGUAGGUGACAAAUGAAAAGCUGGGGCAGUUGGAGGCUACGCAGAUUGCCACAAACAACAAGCUCACAAGUUCGGAGGAAUCCAUUGCUAGUGUGGACAAAAGCCUUGCUGCUCUCCUAAGGCGAUUUGAUGAUUUCCACACCGAAGAUAAAGAGAAGCAUAAAGAAGAAAAGGAGGGAGAUCGAGAGCAUGGUAGUCAUGAAGAUGACUACACUGGUGAUACUGAACAUGAUGAUCAAGACUCUCGUGAUCGACGUCGCCUUCGUCACAACCGUAGAGGUAUGGGUGGCAACCGCCGACGCGAGGUACACAAUAAUGAUGAUGCUUUCAGUAAGAUUAAAUUUAAGAUACCUCCUUUUGAUGGUAAAUAUGACCCUGAUGCUUACAUCACUUGGGAGAUUGCUGUUGAUCAAAAGUUUGCAUGUCAUGAAUUUCCUGAGACUACACGUGUUAGGGCUGCUACUAGUGAGUUUACAGAUUUUGCUUCUGUUUGGUGGAUAGAAUAUGGAAAGAAAAAUCCUAAUAACUUACCUAGAACUUGGGAUGCGCUGAAAAGGGCCAUGAGAGCUAGAUUUGUUCCAUCUUACUAUGCGCGUGAUAUGAUAAAUAAGUUGCAGCAAUUAAGACAAGGUGCUAAAAGUGUAGAAGAAUAUUAUCAGGAAUUACAAACGGGUAUGUUGCGUUGUAACCUAGAGGAGGAUGAGGAACCGGCUAUGGCUAGAUUUUUGGGUGGGUUAAAUCGGGAAAUUCAGGACAUCCUCGCUUACAAAGAAUACAAUAAUGUAACCCGUUUGUUUCAUCUUGCUUGUAAAGCUGAAAGGGAAGUGCAGGGACGACGUGCUAGCGCAAGGAGUAAUAUUUCUGCAGGGAAGGCUAAUUCAUGGCAGCAACGCAUGGCUUCAACUCCAUCUACACGUAUUUCUACUCCAUCAUCUAGUGACAAGACUCGAGCUGCCCCCACCAAUUCAGUUGCGAAGACGAUGCAAAAGCCUGCUGCGAGUACUUCAUCCGUGGCAUCCACGGGUAGAACAAGCAACAUACAAUGUCACCGGUGCAAGGGAUAUGGGCACAUGAUGCGUGACUGUCCAAACAAGCGAGUUAUGAUUGUCAGGGAUGAUGGUGAGUACUCAUCUGCUAGUGAUUUUGAUGAGGAUACACUUGCACUGCUUGCGACUGACCAUGUAGGUAAUGAAGAUCAAAUAGAAGAACAUAUUAAUGCAGGUGAAGCGGACCACUAUGAGAGCUUGAUCGUGCAGCGAGUGCUUAGUGCACAAAUGCAGAUGGCGGAGCAAAAUCAGCGACACAUUUUAUUCCAAACAAAGUGUGUCAUCAAAGAGCGUUCUUGUCGCAUGAUCAUUGAUGGAGGUAGCUGCAACAACUUGGCAAGCAGCGAUAUGGUGCAGAAGCUUGCCCUCAACACCAAACCACACCCGCAUCCCUACUACAUCCAAUGGCUGAACAACAGUGGUAAGGCAAAGGUAACUAGACUUUUGAGAAUUAAUUUUUCCAUCGGAUCCUACAAAGAUAUUGUUGAAUGUGAUGUUGUGCCAAUGCAAGCUUGUAACAUUCUGCUAGGUAGACCUUGGCAAUUUGAUAGUGAUUCUAUGCAUCAUGGUAGAUCAAAUCAGUAUUCUUUUAUAUACCAUGAUCGCAAAAUUGUGUUGCAUCCUAUGUCCCCUGAAACUAUUAUGCAAACUGAUGUUGCUAGGGCUACUAAAGCAAAGAGCGAGAGCAAUAAAAAUGAUAAAUCUGUAAUAGGUAACAAAGAUGAGAUAAAACUGAAAGGACGUUGUAUGAUAGCUACCAAAUCAGAUAUUAAUGAGUUCAAUGCAUCCACUUCUGUUGCUUAUGCUUUGAUAUGCAAGGAUGCUUUGAUUUCAAUUGAGGAUAUGCAAUGUUCUUUGCCCCCUGCUGUUGCUAACGUUUUGUAGGAGUAUUCUGAUGUGUUUCCAAGUGAGGUACCAGCGGGGCUACCUCCACUACGCGGGAUUGAGCACCAAAUUGAUCUUAUUCCUAGAGCAGUUUUGCCAAAUUGUGCACCAUACAGGACAAACCGGGAGGAAACAAAGGAAAUUCAGCGACAAGUGCAAGAACUACUAGACAAAGGUUAUGUCCGAGAAUCUCUUAGUCUUUGUGCUGUUCCAGUAAUUUUAGUGCCUAAGAAAGAUGGAACAUGGCGUAUGUGUGUUGAUUGUAGAGCUAUUAAUAAUAUCACCAUUCGAUAUCGACACCCUAUUCCACGAUUAGAUGAUAUGCUAUAUGAGCUGAGUGGUGCUGUUGUGUUUUCAAAAGUUGAUUUACGUAGUGGGUACCACCAGAUUCGUAUGAAAUUGGGAGAUGAAUGGAAAACUGCUUUCAAAACUAAGUUCGGUUUGUAUGAGUGGUUAGUCAUGCCUUUUGGGUUAACUAAUGCACCUAGUACUUUCAUGAGAUUAAUGAACGAGGUUUUGCAUGCUUUCAUUGGGAAAUUUGUUGUCGUAUAUUUUGUUGACAUAUUGAUUUACAGCAAAUCAUUGGAUGAACAUCUUGAUCAUUUACGUGCUGUUUUUAAUGCACUACGCGAGGCACGUUUAUUUGGUAACCUUGAGAAGUGCACCUUUUGCACCGAUCGAGUGUCUUUUCUUGGUUAUGUUGUGACUCCACAAGGAAUUGAGGUUGAUCAAGCCAAGGUGGAAGCUAUACAGGGAUGGCCUGUCCCAAAUACUAUCACCCAGGUGCAGAGUUUCCUAGGACUUGCUGGAUUCUAUCGCCGUUUUGUGAAGGAUUUCAGCACCAUUGCUGCACCAUUGAAUGAGCUUACAAAGAAGGGGGUGCCUUUUGAUCGGGGCAAAGCACAAGAGAAUUCAUUCAACAUGUUGAAAGAUAAGUUAACUCAUGCACCUCUCCUACAACUUCCUAAUUUUAAUAAGACAUUUGAGCUUGAAUGUGAUGCUAGUGGAAUUGGUUUGGGAGGUGUUUUAUUACAAGAGGGAAAACCUAUUGCAUAUUUUAGUGGGAAAUUGAGUGGGCCUGUUCUCAAUUAUUCAACUUAUGAUAAAGAACUCUAUGCUCUUGUUAGAACAUUAGAGACAUGGCAGCAUUAUUUGUGGUCCAAAGAGUUUAUUAUCCAUUCUGAUCAUGAAUCUUUGAAACAUAUUCGUAGCCAAGGAAAACUGAAUCGUAGGCAUGCAAAAUGGGUUGAAUUUAUUGAAUCUUUUCCUUAUAUUAUUAAGCACAAGAAAGGGAAGGAAAAUAUUAUUGCUGAUGCUUUAUCACGGAGAUAUACUUUGCUGAAUCAACUUGAUUAAAAGAUAUUUGGGUUAGAAACAAUUAAAGACCAAUAUGUUCAUGAUGCUGAUUUUAGAGACGUGUUGCUGCAUUGUGAUGCGGACAUCAACACCAGCGAUACAUAUCCUACAUCCACCAGCGAUACAUAUCCUACAUCCUCUCCGACACAACCUAUAGCUGGUCCUCUUACUCGUGCUCGUGCCCGUCAACUCAACCUUCAAGUAAGUUCAGUUUUAAACUCUUGUCAAUCAUAUUUAGACAAUGGAGACACGUGCACUUUCGUGUUGCUCAGGAAUAAUGGACAAGAUCAGCAAGGGAAGGUUCAACUGCAUUCAGAAUUUGAGCAACACCAACUUCAAGGGCUGAUUGCAUAUGGGAAGAGUGAUAACUUAACAAAGGUGAUUGGAGAUCAGGUCCAAGCCUCCACAACAUCCUCUAUCAAGUUACCACGUCGCUUCUAAAGCAAGGAAACAAAGAGUCCAAACCCAACACGUUUUGGGUGUUGGAUUCGGACUGGAAAAUAACUCUAACUUGUAUGGAUCACCACGGCGUCAUAUGGACUCCAACUGGGAUGUUCCUAUACUUGUUGGAAAGCUCAUGAAGUCUACUUUCCAAUGGGUCCAACCACAUAUCUAUGCAGCUUAUGAGUCAGGCGCAGUCCUUGUUUUCGUGCCGACACCUUUUUCUGUUUUGGUGCUGCGUCACCCUAUUUUGGACCAAUGGCCCAUGUAUCAAGUUGAGUCCAUUAGGGACGCGUCCUAGGGUUGGAGGACAACUCUAGCACCCCUUUGGUCGUCCUCCCCUCUAUUUAUUUACAUCUAGAGCCGCCAUGAACAACUGGGUUUUGAUUAGAUAAAGUUUAGCCUUCGCUACUUGCUUGUAAACGCGCGUGCUGAUCCAGCCGCCCGUCUUCUUGUUUUCGAAACCCCACUUCAUUAGAGAUUGAGUUUGAAACCUUCAUUUACAUCUAGUAAUUUAGUACUUGUUCUACUUGUUCUUGCUGGUUCUUCGAUUGCUUGCAGGACGAGUGCCCUAGUGGCCGGGUGUUGCGCUCCACAAGAUCGUGACAGCCAUUAGAGGCGGUGUAUCGGUUGCUAAGGCGCGGUCUUGAGGGCUGUAGUCGGGCCGUGAACGUCAUCUCCAUCCACCAAUCGAGUUAUCCAGCGCCUCUCAUCGAAAGAUCGGGCGAAAACCCCAGCGGGUUUACAUCAGUUGGUAAUCAGAGCAAGGUUCUUCGGUGAGAGACUUCUAAUCCUUUGCUGUUUUAAAUUAAUUUCCUAUAGUCCAGAAAAGCCAAAAAAAAUAUAGUAGAUUAGUGUUUCCAUAAUCCUAUUAAACCUUUGUGCCUUGGCUAGUACCGUUUUAGUUAGGGCUUGUUGAAUUUGCGUUGCUUCGGUUUGUGUCGAGUUGCUGGUCUUAGUGUCUAGUCCUUUAGAGUUUCGAGUUCUUGUCACCAUCUAUACACAGCCAAGUAUUACCAUAUCUUCUCUCUGUCGAAUCUGUUGUGAAGUCCGAAUUGAACUGUGAUCCAAAAAGAAAGAUAACUCCAUACUUGUUCGGCCUUACUCUAGAGAGAGAGAGUGUGUGUAGCGAAUUGCUCUUUUGUAUUCCUUUGUUCAUAUAAUCAGUUUUUGAGGUUGCCCAAAAAAAAAGAAAAAAAAGAAAAAAAAGAAAGAAAAGAGAAAAGAUUCAAAAGAAAAAAAAGGGGGUGUUUUUCAUAUUGAUUUUAGGUUUCUUCCACCUUGUUUUCGGGGGUGUGCUGUGUUUUCCCUUUGUGUCCAGGCUCGCGUCUCUAGCACGGUCUAGGCUAGGACCAGCACAGUACCACCGUUGAGCGUUUAUUCAGCUCGCUUUUAUAACUAACGUGGUGCUAGUUCGUUCCUUGUUUCAGCCCACC